rnacentral:sRNA from 1 species
UUCUAGGGUGCAUUCACAUAACAGAUCAAGGAUUAAAAUGGAUAGCUAAAUUGUUUCCAGAAGUUCAAAUGAUUGAAAUUAAUGCCUGUAGAAAAGUAACAGAGAAAGGACUACAUGCCCUUUUUACAGGGUGUAAAAAUUUACAAAAUUUGGCAGCGAUGGCAGAUAGUGUCUCCACUAUACCUGAUUCUAUUAGUUUAACUAGAUUGUUUCAGGGGUCCUUUCAGUGGGCUGGGAAUCCAAUCAUUUCUGAAGGGAAAGAGUAUUCUUUGCAUAAAGGU